rnacentral:rRNA from 1 species
AGAAUGAACGUUGGCGGCGUGGAUUAGGCAUGCAAGUCGAGCGAGAACCCGCAAGGGGGACAGCGGCGAACGGGGUAGGACAACGUAGGUAACGUACCCUCGGGGCGAGGACAGCCACGGGAAACUGUGGGUAAUACUCGAUAAUGCUCCCAAUCGUGAUGGAAGGGGAACCAAUGGGUGUGAUUCCACCUGAGGAGCGGCUUACGCAGUAUCAGCUUGUUGGCGAGGUAACGGCUCACCAAGGCUAUGACGCGUUAGGGGAUGUGAGAGCAUGACUCCCCACACUGGCACUGACGACACUGGACCAGGACCACCGUACGGGUGGCUGCAGUCGAAGAAUUCUUCGGCAAGUGGAC